GAUGAACGCUAGCGGCAGGCCUAACACAUGCAAGUCGAGGGAGAGGUUACCUUCGGGUAACCAAAACCGGCGCACGGGUGCGUAACGCGUAUACAAUCUGCCUUUCACAUAGGGAUAGCCCGAAGAAAUUUGGAUUAAUACCUAAUGGUAUAUAAGAGCGGCAUCGUUUUUAUAUUAAAGCUACGGUGGUGAAAGAUGAGUAUGCGUUCUAUUAGCUAGUUGGAGAGGUAACGGCUCCCCAAGGCGACGAUAGAUAGGGGUUCUGAGAGGGAUGUCCCCCACACUGGGACUGAGAUACGGACCAGACUCCUACGGGAGGCAGCAGUGAGGAAUAUUGGACAAUGGUCGGAAGACUGAUCCAGCCAUGCCGCGUGCAGGAUGAAGGUCCUAUGGAUUGUAAACUGCUUUUGUAAGGGAAGAAUAAGGAGUACGUGUACUUUGAUGACGGUACCUUACGAAUAAGCAUCGGCUAACUCCGUG
rnacentral:rRNA from 1 species